rnacentral:RNase_P_RNA from 1 species
AUUUUUGGAUAAUCGCAUGGUUGCUAGUCUUCCAUGAGGAAAGUCCAUGCUAGCACUGGCUGUGACGCCAGUAGUGUUUGUGCUAGGUGAAUCAAUAAGCCUAGGGACUUGAUUUUCAAGUUACGGCGAGCGAACUAGCUAAGUCUUCGGAUAGGUUUUAGUAGCUCUGAAAGUGCCACAGUGACGGAGUUUUUAGGGAAACCUAAAAAGUGGAACGCGGUAAACCCCUCAAGCUAGCAACCCAAAC